AGAGCGAACGCUGGCGGCAGGCCUAAUACAUGCAAGUCGAGCGCACCUUCGGGUGAGCGGCGGACGGGUGAGUAACGCGUGGGAAUGUGCCCUUUGGUACGGAACAACUGAGGGAAACUUCAGCUAAUACCGUAUGUGCCCUUCGGGGGAAAGAUUUAUCGCCAUUGGAGCAGCCCGCGUUGGAUUAGGUAGUUGGUGAGGUAAAGGCUCACCAAGCCUACGAUCCAUAGCUGGUCUGAGAGGAUGAUCAGCCACACUGGGACUGAGACACGGCCCAGACUCCUACGGGAGGCAGCAGUAGGGAAUCUUGCGCAAUGGGCGAAAGCCUGACGCAGCCAUGCCGCGUGAAUGAUGAAGGUCUUAGGAUUGUAAAAUUCUUUCACCGGGGAAGAUAAUGACGGUACCCGGAGAAGAAGCCCGGCUAACUUCGCGCCAGCAGCCGC
rnacentral:rRNA from 1 species